AACGCACCUUGCACCCUUUGGUAUUCCGAAGGGUACGCCCGUUUGAGUGUCAUUGUAAUCUCACCUCUACGGCUUUUGUCGUACGAAGUGGACUUGGGCAAUGUCGUGUAACGAUGACUGGCCUGAAAGAGAUGAGUGUACCCUGCUGUUGCAGCGUCUUCAGUGUGAUAAGCAUCUUCACUGAUCAAAGUUCCUUUGGGACACGCAUACGACGUGGGCUCUGCGCUUCGAACCGUCCUCGGACAAGCUCUGACAAUUUGAUCUCAAAUCGGGUGGGACUACCCGCUGAACUUAA
rnacentral:misc_RNA from 1 species